CUGGAGAAUUGCUUGAACCCGGGAGGCGGAGAUUGCAGUGACCCAAGAUCUCGCCACUGCACUCCAGCCUCGGUGACAGAGUAAGACUCCGUCUCAGAAAAAAGAUUUUAAGAGUAUGGCUCACAGGUCCUCUCAUUCAAACAAUAGGGCUUCUAAGAAACUUAAGGUCUUUGUCCUUCAGCAGAAGCCCAAGGUAGAAAAAGACAUAUCUCAAAGGUAUUUGCUGCCAUGGCUUUUGUCUCCUGGACUAAAACCCAGUAAGAUUCACAGUAGAUUCAAAAAUUGUUUUAAGAGAAUUGUAUUGUCAGAAAUACUGUCAGCUUGAGCUGAAAAAGAGUACAAAAAGGAAAGGGGCCUUUGGACCCUUUCUACAAACGCAUUUCUACAAACAGGAAGCAGGCUAAGAAAACUAUUUAGGUCCAAACACAUCUCCCUUUCACACAAAAAAGGAUGACUUAGAGGAUAAAACCAAGAGCCCAGAAGGUGGAACCAAAAGCCAUAGGGAGUUAUUCCCAGGCUUUGAGUGUAGAACUGCAAACCUGUACUCAAAUGGAUUUCAGAAUUGCUAUGAACCAGUGACUUCUGUGCACCUUGGUUUCCACCUGUUGGAACAGGAGUGUCUAUAGCAGUUAUCUCCCUGCCCCUGCUGUUUUACAUUGGUUGCUGUGGGGAAAGGAGCAUAUGACCUUUUUCUUUUUGUUCGCAGAACUUCAGAUUGAAAAGCAUGUACUUGAGUAGCUGUAUUUAAGGAAUUACACCCAAGAAGUCUCAUCUUCCCUGGACUUACGUAGAGGAUAAGAUUCUGAACUUUGAAUUGAUGCUAUAAUGGGAUAAGACUUUGGGGCCUUAGAAGGGGAGAACAAAGGCCAUGAAGGUGUUAAAGGGAAGCAAGCGAUCGACAGCAUUGGUUGGUGACAAACCUGUGGCUGGUCUGUGUAUGAUGGGAUGGAUUCCUCCUGCUCCCAGAAGGCACUGUACUUUCAGUGUUCAGGGCAGCCUUGCCUUAGUGCCUCAAACCUAUCCCUACAUCCUGCAGUAAACUUGGAAAGGUAACACCUCUAACCAUCAGGCCUUCCUCUGAAGCACAGUCAAGUUGCUCUUGGCAACCAUCUCAAUUUUAAUAGUGCAGAUGCCAUGUGCUGUAAAGUCCUAAAAUUUAAAUUCUUUAUUUCUUGACAUCAUUGCCUCAAAAAAAUGCGUGAUAUAUUUUGUCCAUUAAUGAGAUCCAUAUCUAUCUUCUUC
rnacentral:lncRNA from 1 species